UUGGGGAGCUUGCUCCCCAUGAGAGUGGCGCACGGGUGCGUAACACGUAUGUAACCUACCUUUAUCAGGGGGAUAGCCUCUCGAAAGAGAGAUUAAGCCCGCAUAACAUUACGACAUAGCAUUAUGAUGUAAUCAAAUAUUUAUAGGAUAAAGAUGGGCAUGCGGAACAUUAGCUAGUUGGUAAGGUAAUGGCUUACCAAGGCUACGAUGUUUAGGGGAUCUGAGAGGAUGACCCCCCACACUGGUACUGAGACACGGACCAGACUCCUACGGGAGGCAGCAGUAAGGAAUAUUGGUCAAUGGGCGCAAGCCUGAACCAGCCAUGCCGCGUGCAGGAAGACGGCCCUACGGG
rnacentral:rRNA from 1 species